rnacentral:lncRNA from 1 species
UGUCCUGCAGAUGAAGAAGGAGAUUGUCCUCCACUUCCUUGCUGCAGAAGCCGCUUGGUUGGUACCUGGUUUGACUUUUAGAUGAAACCCUGUAUCUAUAGAAGAAAGCCUCAGACCACUCAGCUGGGAGAUGCUUCUGAUGGCAGCUUGGGCCUUUGUUGUCACUGAAAACAGAACUGAUGUCAUGACUUGUCCUCCAUGAAUGCCAGCCAAGGUGUUGUUCUGAGGUUGCUGUUGCCAGCAGAGACUCAUCCAUUGCUGAGCAAUUAAAUCCUGAACCCUGUUUAACCAGAUCCAAAUAGCUUUCAAGAAGCCUCAGUUUUGGUGGCUAUCAAUCCCAGGGCUGAUCACUGGCCUCUCACAGGGGCAUCUUCUGUGGACCUGUGGUUCUGUGGCAAAGGUGGUGGUCUAUGUGCCUGUCUUAUAUGGACACUGAAAUCUUGUGUAAAGUAAGGGAGCUCCCAGUGUGUCUGCAAUGGGAGGAAUACUGACCCAGGAAGUUCUGCAUGUGCAGAGUAUAUCUUCCACAAACUCCCAGGUGAAGCUGUACCUAGACUCUCCUUCAGCACAGAUACAGAUGAGAUGGGAAAGUCCCAAUUUCUCCUGAAAAGAUAGUGACCUGGGUUUCAGAGGAAAUGAACCGCCCAGCUCCCAAAUCCAUUGCUGCUGAACUUGGGAUUGCAGAUUGGUCUAAAGGCCCACAUAUCUCAUGCAACCUGUUUAGCAGUCUCUUAUUGAAGCCUGAGGGCUCAAGCUGCUGCUGA